GGCCGGUUAGCUCAGUCCAUUGAGCGUGGUGCUAACAAUGCCAAGGUUGCGGGUUCGAUUCCCGUUCGGUCC
rfam:Apaloderma vittatum contig90472, whole genome shotgun sequence.